rnacentral:rRNA from 1 species
UACGGAGGGUGCAAGCAUUGAUCGGAAUUACUGGGCGUAAAGGGCGCGUAGGCGGUUAGGAAAGUCAGAUGUGAAAUUCCGGAGCUCAACUCCGGAGCUGCAUUUGAAACUUCCUGGCUAGAGGGCAGUUAGGGAAAACGGAAUUCCACGUGUAGCGGUGAAAUGCGUAGAUAUGUGGAAGAACACCGGUGGUGAAGACGGUUUUCUGGGCUGUUACUGACGCUGAGGCGCGAAAGCAAGGGGAGCAAACAGG